rnacentral:rRNA from 1 species
AUUGAACGCUGGCGGCAGGCCUAACACAUGCAAGUCGAACGAGUGGCGGACGGGUGAGUAAUGUCUGGGAAACUGCCUGAUGGAGGGGGAUAACUACUGGAAACGGUAGCUAAUACCGCAUACCAUCAGAUGUGCCCAGAUGGGAUUAGCUUGUUGGUGGGGUAACGGCUCACCAAGGCGACGAUCCCUAGCUGGUCUGAGCGGAUGACCAGCCAAACUGGAACUGAGACACGGUCCAGACUCCUACGGGAGGCAGCAGGGGGGAAUAUUGCGCAAUGGGGGCAAGCCUGAUGCAGCCAUGCCGCGUGAGUGAAGAAGGCCUUCGGUUUGUAAAGCACUUUAAGUAGGGAGGCGUUACCGACAGAAUAAGCACCGGCUAACUCCGUGCCAGCAGCCGCGGUAAUAC